CCAGCUGAACCCUGCUUCUCACUUGAGGUCCUUCCCACCUGUCAGCUGGUGUGGCAAGAACAAAGCUCAGAGGCCAAAAUAAAUGAGGUGCCAGAGUUUGGUUUAUUGGCUCAUCCAGUGCCAAAGGUCCAAUGGGCACCCUCUUCCCAAGGAACCGGGAGCCCCCUGGGGCGGGUGUGAGCAGAGGCUGGGUUCUGCCAGGGGUCUUAGGGCCCAGUCUGCUUGGUACAGGAUGGGGACCCUGGGCAAGAGGGGAUGGACCCCAGGGGCAGAGGAGAGGGGCCCACUCAGCAGGGGCCUGUACCAGACAGAGCAGGGGUGGGCCCUGAGGAGCACGGGAGUCCAGCCCAGGGGCACGGUGGCAAUGGGGUGACCUAAAAGGGAGCAAGGUCAUAGGAGCAGGUGAGAGGCCCCCCAGAUCCCCGUUCUCUCAUGGGCUGGGUCCUCUGAGGCUCAGAGCCUAGGAGGGAGGGUUGAGCAGGGAAAGGGCCAGAUGACUGUGGGGCUCAGGGUGGGAGGAGGCGACUGCUGGAGGGACAGUCCUUGACCCAAACUCCCCCGAGCCCUAGACCCAGAAAGACACACUCACACAGCCCUGGACCCCCCUUUUUAAUGUGGGAACAUGUGGCACUCAGCCCCACCCAAUGACCAGGAAAAGAGCCCCCAGCUGCGGCUCUGGCCUGGCCAUCCUGGUCGCUGAAGCACAGGCCAACCCCUGUCUUCCAUCCACAGCUGCACCUGGAGGCCCCACCCAGGGUCCCCAGCGUCCUCCCUGUGUGCUCCCUUUCCCCCAUGUGCCUUCAGGCCUGUCCUUGGUCCAUCUGGGCUAGGACAUCCCCCUACCUGCUCCCAAACCAAGGCGAGCAGUGGAGACACGAUAGGACCUCUGAGAAGCGGAUGGCUAUGGGCUUCAGCAAGGC
rnacentral:lncRNA from 1 species